rnacentral:tRNA from 1 species
GCCCGGAUGGUGGAAUUGGUAGACACGUUGGACUUAAAAUCCAAUGGACAGUAAUGUCCGUGCGGGUUCAAGUCCCGCUCCGGGUA